rnacentral:rRNA from 2 species
UUGCCAUUAUCAUAAGCGGAGGAAAAGAAACCAACAGGGAUUGCCUUAGUAACGGCGAGUGAAGCGGCAAAAGCUCAAUUUGAAAUCGCGUAAGCGAGUUGUAAUUGAAGUGGUUAGACUAUGAUGUCAAGUCUCUUGGAACAGAGCGCCAAAGAGGGUGAUAGCCCCGUAAUCUUUGUCUAAUGUGCUACUUCAGAGCGAGUCGAGUUGUUUGGGAAUGCAGCUCUAAUAGGUGGUAAACUCCAUCUAAGGCUAAAUAUUGCUGGGAGACCGAUAGCGAACAAGUACAGUGAUGGAAAGAUGAAAAGCACUUUGAAAAGAGAGUGAAAUAGCGUGUGAAAUUGUUGGAGGGGAAGGCGAUGAUAGGAAUAAGAGGCUGCGGUUUGAAGUAAAUAUUCUUUGGGCCACGGUCUCCUGGGCCUAUUUUCGCACCCGUCUUGAACACGGGACCAUGGGCCAACAUAUUUUGGCGGUGGGAUAAAUCCUUAGAAUGUGGCUUGUCUUCGAGAAUGUUAUACCUAGGGAAUACCGCCACCGGGACUGAGGACUGCACUUUGUCAAGGAUGUUGGCAUAAUGGUAAAUGCCGCCCGUCUUGAAACAGCC